CAGUCGCCACGGUAAUACGGAGGGGGCUAGCGUUGUUCGGAAUUACUGGGCGUAAAGCGUACGUAGGCGGCUUUGUAAGUUAGAGGUGAAAGCCUGGUGCUCAACACCAGAACUGCCUUUAAGACUGCAUCGCUUGAACGUCGGAGAGGUGAGUGGAAUUCCGAGUGUAGAGGUGAAAUUCGUAGAUAUUCGGAAGAACACCAGUGGCGAAGGCGGCUCACUGGACGACUGUUGACGCUGAGGUACGAAAGCGUGAGGAGCAAACAGGAUUAGAUACCCCUGUAGUCCCUGUCUCUUAUAC
rnacentral:rRNA from 1 species